UACGGAGGGGGGCUAGCGUUAUUCGGAAUUAUUGGGCGUAAAGGGCGCGUAGGCGGCCUGGCAAGUGACGGGGUGAAAGCCCUCGGCUCAACCGAGGAACUGCCUGUCAUACUGCCGGGCUUGAGUCCGGGAGAGGUGAGUGGAAUUCCCAGUGUAGCGGUGAAAUGCGUAGAUAUUGGGAGGAACACCAGUGGCGAAGGCGGCUCACUGGACCGG
rnacentral:rRNA from 1 species